rnacentral:rRNA from 1 species
UACGAAGGGGGCUAGCGUUGUUCGGAUUUACUGGGCGUAAAGCGCACGUAGGCGGAUUGGUCAGUUAGAGGUGAAAUCCCGAAGCUCAACUUCGGAACUGCCUUUAAUACUGCCAGUCUAGAGUCCGGAAGAGGUAAGUGGAACUCCUAGUGUAGAGGUGGAAUUCGUAGAUAUUAGGAAGAACACCAGUGGCGAAGGCGGCUUACUGGUCCGGUACUGACGCUGAGGUGCGAAAGCGUGGGGGAGCAAACAGG